UUUAAAUAAUUUUAUUAUUUACGUUAACAUAUAAAAUUUAACUCAUUGUUUUUAUCAUAAAAAAGAUGUGAACGUUUUUAUUUAACUUGUAUGUGUGCAAAAAUGAACAAAAUUUCUUUCAAAACGAUGAACUAAGAAACAUCGUAUGUAGAACAAAACAUGCAUUUUUAAGAGCAGCUACACAAUGCCGAAAUAUAAUGGAUGUAAGGGUACAGAAUAUUGUAAUGUUGAAUUAAAAGACUAAAAGUGUGAGUAUUCUUCCAGUUACAUCAAUGUCAAAAAAUGAUAUCGAGGAAAUAAUACUGAAAUACUACCGUAUUUUCUAAAUGCACGCAAUGUUUGUUACUCUUAUAUUUAAAUUAAUUAUUUUAAAUAACAAAAUAUUCAUCGAUGAAUAUUAAUAAAUGAUUAAAAUUAAAAAUAAAAAUGAAACUAAAAUUUCAUAUGCGUGUAUAUAAAUUUAAAAUUAAACUAUUGGUAUGUAGAAAGCAAAUGGAUUAUUUCCCAUCAUGAAUAUAACUGGUACCUGGUCCUUCAUGGCACAACGAUGCUGAAGAAAGAAAUAUUAUUAAGCCAAAUUUCCAUACAAUAAUCUAUCUUUUAUCUGUGCUUAUUAUUAAUAUUAUUCUUUAUGACAUUUCAUGAAUCUUUUUAAAUAAAUUAUUUAUUUU